CUACAAUGAUGAGAUCCAGAACUCUCUCUUUCUGAGAUUUCAGUGGAGAAAACUUAUUUACUUCUGAGUAGC